rnacentral:rRNA from 1 species
UACGUAGGUGGCAAGCGUUGUCCGGAAUUAUUGGGCGUAAAGCGCGCGUAGGCGGUCCUUUAAGUCUGAUGUGAAAGCCCACGGCUCAACCGUGGAGGGUCAUUGGAAACUGGGGGACUUGAGUGCAGAAGAGGAGAGUGGAAUUCCACGUGUAGCGGUGAAAUGCGUAGAGAUGUGGAGGAACACCAGUGGCGAAGGCGACUCUCUGGUCUGUAACUGACGCUGAGGCGCGAAAGCGUGGGGAGCAAACAGG